GACGGAGGAUGCAAGUGUUAUCCGGAAUCACUGGGCGUAAAGCGUCUGUAGGUGGUCAAAUAAGUCAACUGUUAAAUCUUGAGGCUCAACCUCGAAAUCGCAGUCGAAACUAUUAGACUAGAGUAUAGUAGGCGUAAAGGGAAUUUCCAGUGGAGCGGUGAAAUGCGUAGAGAUUGGAAAGAACACCGAUGGCGAAGGCACUUUACUGGGCUAUUACUAACACUCAGUGACGAAAGCUAGGGUAGCAAAUGCG
rnacentral:rRNA from 1 species